rnacentral:lncRNA from 1 species
UGGAACUUGGGGCACUAGACUACUGAGUCACAUCCCCAUCCCUAUUUUGCAUUUUAUUUAGAGACAGGGUCUCACUGAGUGGCUUAGCCUCAGCCUCCUGAGCCACUGGGAUUACAGGCGUGUGCCACCACGCCCUGCAAAAUUAGACAUUUUUAGACAAGUAACGUGUGAAAAAUGACCUCCCAUGUACCCUUUCUCAGAAAGCUGCUGGUGGAUGUAUGUCACCAAAAAGAGGGAAAGAACCAGAUUACACACUUAAUGGAGGUAACUGAGAAGAGCUUAACGGAGGGAUUUUUACAGAGCUGUGGACUACUUGGAGGGGUUAAGGAAAGCAACAAGGAGCAGUGUAGCAUUCUGGGCCUGCGAACACCCUAGGCCUCAACAGUCCGGGAGAUAGACAGAGCUAGGUGAAGAGGGUGGCCUGGUAGAAGCCCUGCUUUAGAUAGAGGGAGGGAGUUGGGGGAAUCAGUGCCCCAACUUGACUCUCUUCCUCCCUCCUUCCUUGGCUGAACCCAACCAAAGACCAAAAAGAACAGUGAUAAUAUGAACCCCGAGAGAAAGCACAGAGCAGAAUCAAAGGAAAGAGCAAGGGGCAUGAAGGCCAAGGGAUUUCUGCGCCAGAAGCUGGAAUUAAAGUCCUAGAAGACCAUGUAGCAGAUUGGAACAAGACACUGGAGAACUACAGGGUGGAUAUCUUAAAAUUUGAUAAAAGAAACCAACUUAGUUACUUUAUGUGCUUAAUGAUCUUAAAGGAUAUUGAUCAUUCUUUCUAAGAUUGAGGAAAAUAAUUUGUCAUAGUUGUAGAGCAAACUAAGCAAAGAAACUAGGCUACUAUUAAGUGAAUAUUAAGUGAAGAAAAAUUAAAAGUAGAACCAGGAAGAAAAAAAAAACAGUCUUUAUACUUAGUUCAACUCUGAAUACUGUGCAUGUAAAAGUUAUAAGAGAUAUUGAGUGUUCAUUUAAUA